GAAAUGCGAUAAGUAAUGUGAAUUGCAGAAUUCAGUGAAUCAUCGAAUCUUUGAACGCACCUUGCGCUCCUUGGUAUUCCGAGGAGCAUGCCUGUUUGAGUGUCAUUAAAUUCUCAACCUCACCCAUUUCGUGAUGAAGUGUGUGUGUAGGCUUGGAUGUGGAGGCUUGCAGGCCCGGCUCUCUGAGUUGGUCUGCUCCUCUGAAAUGCAUUAGUGGGUUGUGCCCCUCAUCUAUUGGUGUGAUAAUUAUCUACGCCGUGGAUCAGUGUUGGCGACAAUGUGACCUGCUUCCAACCGUCCGACUCGGACAACUUGACAUUUUUGGCCUCAAAUCAGGCAAGACUACCCGCUGAACUUAAGCAUAUCAAUAAGCGGAGGAAAAGAAACUAACAAGGAUUCCCCUAGU
rnacentral:rRNA from 1 species